CGUGUGGUCUUAUUUCGUUGGUUUCUAGGACCGCCGUAAUGAUUAAUAGGGACAGUCGGGGGCAUCAGUAUUCAAUCGUCAGAGGUGAAAUUCUUGGAUCGAUUGAAGACUAACUACUGCGAAAGCAUUUGCCAAGGAUGUUUUCAUUUAUCAGGAACGAAAGUUAGGGGAUCGAAGACCAUCAGAUACCGUCGUAGUCUUAACCAUAAACUAUGCCGACUAGGGAUCGGACGGUGUUAUUUCUUGACCCGUUCGGCACCUUACGAGAAAUCAAAGUGCUUGGGCUCCAGGGGGAGUAUGGUCGCAAGGCUGAAACUUAAAGAAAUUGACGGAAGGGCACCACCAGGGGUGGAGCCUGCGGCUUAAUUUGACUCAACACGGGGAAACUCACCAGGUCCAGACACAACGAGGAUUGACAGAUUGAGAGCUCUUUCUUGAUUUUGUGGGUGGUGGUGCAUGGCCGUUCUUAGUUGGUGGAGUGAUUUGUCUGCUUAAUUGCGAUAACGAACGAGACCUUAACCUGCUAAAUAGUCCGUAUCACCCCGGUAGUACGCCGACUUCUUAGAGGGACUAUCGGCUCAAGCCGAUGGAAGUUUGAGGCAAUAACAGGUCUGUGAUGCCCUUAGAUGUUCUGGGCCGCACACGCGUUACACUGACGGGGGCCAGCGAGUCUUUCCUUGACCGAAAGGUCCGGGUAAUCUUGUGAAACCCCGUCGUGC
rnacentral:rRNA from 1 species